UACGGGGGGAGCAAGCGUUGUUCGGAUUUACUGGGCGUAAAGGGCGCGUAGGCGGACAGUUUAGUCAGAGGUGAAAGCCCAGGGCUCAACCUUGGAAUUGCCUUUGAUACUGGCUGUCUUGAGUACGGGAGAGGUGAGUGGAACUCCGAGUGUAGAGGUGAAAUUCGUAGAUAUUCGGAAGAACACCAGUGGCGAAGGCGACUCACUGGCCCGAUACUGACGCUGAGGCACGAAAGCGUGGGGAGCAAACAGG
rnacentral:rRNA from 1 species